GACGAACGCUGGCGGCGUGCUUAACACAUGCAAGUCGAACGGAAAGGCCUGCUUUCCCUUGUGGAUUGCGGGUACUCGAGUGGCGAACGGGUGAGUAACACGUGAGUGAUCUGCCCCCAACUUGGGUAUAAGCCUGGGAAACUGGGUCUAAUUCCCGAUAGGACUGCAGGGUGGUGCCUGUGGUGGAAAACGAUUUUCUAGUGGUUGGGGAUGAGCUCGCGGCCUAUCAGCUUGUUGGUGGGGUAAUGGCCUACCAAGGCGGCGACGGGUAGCCGGCCUGAGAGGGUGGACGGCCCCAUUGGGACUGAGAUACGGCCCAGACUCCUACGGGAGGCAGCAGUGGGGACUAUUGCACAAUGGGCGGAAGCCUGAUGCAGCGACGCCGCGUGGGGGAUGACGGCCUUCGGGUUGUAAGCUCCUUUCGACCGCGAGGAAGCCACCUGGUUGGAAGGGUGGUGACGGUAGUGGUAGAAGAAGCACCGGCUAACUACGUG
rnacentral:rRNA from 1 species